CAGCCGGGUAAUUCCAGCUCCAAUAGCGUAUAUUAAAGUUGUUGCAGUUAAAAAGCUCGUAGUUGAAUUUCGGGAUCAAUGUUUCGGUCAUGCCGUUGGUAUGUACUGAUAUUAUUGAUUUCUCACCUUCUAAAGAACCGUAAUGCCAUUAAUUUGGUGUCACGGGGAAUUAGGACUGUUACCUUGAAAAAAUUAGAGUGUUUAAAGCAGGCUUACGCUUGAAUACAUUAGCAUGGAAUAAUGAAAUAGGACAUCCGAUUCUAUUUUGUUGGUUUCUAGGAUCGAUGUAAUGAUUAAUAGGGAUAGUUGGGGGCAUUAGUAUUCAAUUGUCAGAGGUGAAAUUCUUGGAUUUAUUGAAGACUAACUACUGCGAAAGCAUUUGCCAAGGAUGUUUUCAUUAAUCAAGAACGAAAGUUAGGGGAGCGAAGACGAUCAGAUACCGUCGUAGUCUUAACCAUAAACUAUGCCGACUAGGGAUCGGAUGAUGUUAAUUUUUUAAUGACUCAUUCGGCGCCUUACG
rnacentral:rRNA from 1 species